rnacentral:rRNA from 1 species
UUCGGUUGCCAGCAUUUAGUUGGGCGACUCUAAGGGGACGUGCCGGUGAUAAGCCGAGAGGAAGGUGGGGAGUGACGUCAAGUACCUCAUGGCCCUUACGGGCUGGGCUACACACGUGCUACAAUGGUGGUGGCAGUGGGCAGCGAGCACGCGAGUGUGAGCUAAUCUCCAAAAGCCAUCUCAGUUCGGAUUGCACUCUGCAACUCGGGUGCAUGAAGUUGGAAUCGCUAGUAAUCGCGGAUCAGCAUGCCGCGGUGAAUACGUUCCCGGGCCUU